AUGGCUCAGGACGAACGCUGGCGGCGUGCUUCAUACAUGCAAGUCGAACGAUAAGGCACCUUCGGGUGUACAUAAGUGGCGGACGGGUGAGUAAAAAUGUAGAGAAUCUGCCCUAGAGCGGGGGACAACAGCUGGAAACGGUUGCUAAUACCCCAUAUGAGCGUAGUUGAGAUACUAUUCUUGAAAACUCCGGUGCUCUGGGAUGAGUCUGCAUCUGAUUAGCUAGUUGGGGGUGUAAUGGACCACCAAGGCGACGAUCAGUAGCUGGUUUGAGAGGAUGAUCAGCCACAAUGGGACUGAGACACGGCCCAUACUCCUACGGGAGGCAGCAGUAGGGAAUUUUGCGCAAUGGGGGAAACCCUGACGCCAGCAACGCCGCGUGAUUGAAGAAGCCCUUCGGGGUGUAAAGAUCUGUCAGUGGGGACGAAACUUGACGGUACCCACAGAGGAAGCAUCGGCUAACUCCGUGCCAGCCGCCGC
rnacentral:rRNA from 1 species